GACGGAAGGUGCAAGCGUUGCUCGGAAUCACUGGGCGUAAAGGGUGCGUAGGCGGCCGUGCAAGUCUGGCGUGAAAGCCCGGGCUCAGCCCGGGAAGUGCGCUCGAAACUGCGCGGCUCGAGUGCCGGAGGGGAGAGUGGAAUUCCGUGGUGUAGGCGGUGAAAUGCGUAGAUAUCAGGAGGAAUACCGGUGGCGAAAGCGACGUCUCUGGACGGCAACUCGACGCUGAGGCACGAAAGCGUGGGGAGC
rnacentral:rRNA from 1 species